UGCGAUAUCCGCGGAUGACCCUGAUGGC
rnacentral:sRNA from 1 species